UGGGGAAUAUUGGACAAUGGGCGCAAGCCUGAUCCAGCAAUGCCGCGUGUGUGAAGAAGGCCUUCGGGUUGUAAAGCACUUUUAUCAGGAGCGAAACGCUGUCGGCUAAUACCCGGCGGAACUGACGGUACCUGAGGAAUAAGCACCGGCUAACUUCGUGCCAGCAGCCGCGGUAAUACGAAGGGUGCAAGCGUUAAUCGGAAUUACUGGGCGUAAAGCGUGCGUAGGCGGUUUCUUAAGUCUGCUGUGAAAUCCCCGGGCUCAACCUGGGAAUGGCAGUGGAUACUGGGAGGCUAGAGUGUGUCAGAGGGUGGUGGAAUUCCCGGUGUAGCGGUGAAAUGCGUAGAGAUCGGGAGGAACAUCAGUGGCGAAGGCGGCCACCUGGGACAACACUGACGCUGAGGCACGAAAGCGUGGGGAGCAAACAGGAUUAGAUACCCUGGUAGUCCACGCCCUAAACGAUGCGAACUGGAUGUUGGUCUCAACUCGGAGAUCAGUGUCGAAGCUAACGCGUUAAGUUCGCCGCCUGGGGAGUACGGUCGCAAGACUGAAACUUAAAUGAAUUGACGGGGUCAUAGCUGUUUCCUG
rnacentral:rRNA from 1 species